UCAUUAUAGGAAGAUUUCUUGCACAACAAAUCCCUUUUGUGAUGAUGUUUUCUGAUAAUCGUGGUGGAAAGCUUGCCAAAUGAGAACAUGGAAGCCUCGAAGGAGAGGAAGGUGGGGAAGGUGAAGAAAGCAAAGAAGGCGAGGCAAGCAAUCAGGAAAGGAUAUGAGUGCGGUACUCAUAUCGUGGUGCUCUCUCUCUUCUGUCAUAGAUCGCCAUCACCGGAUUGAGAGUAGAUGCCAGAAAAGUUUAUGGUGAUGCGAAGGAAGAGAAAGAUACUUCAUCUCAGAAGCAUGAUCAAGAAUAAUCUUGCUUCUGGAUGACAUGAUCAAAAAUAAUCUUGCUUCGUUGUUUGUGAAUCUGGUUGUGAUGCUGCAUUUUUCCAACUUUAGACUUUGAAAUUAGUUAUGAAACUACAUCUUCCUUCUCAGGAAGCGAUGAUAAGCUUAGACCAGAAGAAAAAUUUUGGCUUUCAAAGUGUGAAGGGUUGAGAGCUCAAAGGUGUGCUUUGCAAGGGAGAAGAUGAGUGAAUUUAUAGAGGAGAUUUGAGAGGGGACGGUGCAAGUGGUGCCGACAGUGGGUCACUAUUAAAUCCAUACCUUUCUCGAAACGCUCUUCCACGUCUGCUAGGUGCGAAAUGUGCGGCGAUGAAUCCGGAAAAGUCAUUGAGUGAAUUCGGAAUUCGAGGAGGUAAAAAGUGAAAGUUGAAAAAGAAAGGAGACUCGUGAUUCGAGAGUUGUCUGCUAGUGGUAGUGGCGGCCAGGCUCAGAAUGACGUCUAUUAGACCGCAUCUUGUCCACUGAUUAAGUUCUCUUUCCUUUCCCUUCAGAUCUUUCGAAGAACAGCUUCAUUUCUAUCUUUUCUCCUUUGGGUUCUUUGAAUAACGGUUUCACUUCCUUCGUCUACCCAAAAAUGGCUUCUUCUUCUGCUUCGUAGAACAAUAUUGAUCUGAAUGUUGUGCCUGAUGUACAACCAGAGAUCUGGCGCCCAUCGUUCCCAUCUCCAAGAGGUCAUCUUAUGACUACUGACUCUGUGAUGCUAGAUGAUGCAGCUGCUGUAUCGGUGGCUAAAGGCAUCAUUAUUCCACGAGAUAGAAAGUUAUUGGCGGAUCGGUCCGAUGAUGAGGCUAUUAGUGAUUCUAUGGCCUUUAGUAUUCAGGGUGCUGCUUCUGUUUCAAAUAUGGCUCAACGUCUGCAGGUUCGAGGGUGUGAGAUUCAAUCAUUACAAAAUCAAGUUUUGGUUUUGCAGCGAUUGCUCAUGGAUUCUAAGCAAAGGAAUAGAGUUCUUCAACGAGAAAAUAAGGAGCUCACGAAACUUGUAGAUUCGUACGCGAAUGACCUGGGAAAGAAAUAUACCGACUUGGAGCAGAACACCGACCGUCUUCGAGAACAACACAAAGAUCUCUUGCUUGAAGUCCAAAAUCUUAGGGUUUUUUGCCCAGAAACUUAGCCAGGUAUAAGCAUACCGAACUCUCCGGGAAUGGUGCAGAAAGGUCCUAUUUGCAAGUCAGUCAAUCUUGUUUUAGAAGAAAAACCGAUCAAAUUCCAAGAUUAUAAUGAAGUCAGCAAACUCACUUUUGGAUAGAUUCAAACUCCAAAUCAAUUUAGAAUUUAAGAAAAGAGAAGUUGGCAAAAAUUCGUUAUCUUUGGAAAGAAUCCAGAAUGAGCACG